rnacentral:rRNA from 1 species
GAUGAACGCUGGCGGCGUGCCUAAUACAUGCAAGUCGAGCGAACAGACGAGGAGCUUGCUCCUCUGACGUUAGCGGCGGACGGGUUAGUAACACGUGGAUAACCUACCUAUAAGACUGGGAUAACUUCGGGAAACCGGAGCUAAUACCGGAUAAUAUAUUGAACCGCAUGGUUCAAUAGUUAAAGACGGUUUUGCUGUCACUUAUAGAUGGAUCCGCGCCGCAUUAGCUAGUUGGUAAGGUAACGGCUUACCAAGGCAACAAUGCGUAGCCGACCUGAGAGGGUGAUCGGCCACAUUGGAACUGAGACAAGGUCCAGACGCCUAAGGGAGGCAGCAGUAGGGAAUCUUGCGCAAUGGGCGAAAGCCUGAAGGAGCAAAGCCGCGUGAGUGAUGAAGGUCUUCGGAUCGUAAAACUAUGUUAUUAGGGAAGAACAAAUGUGUAAGUAACUAUGCAAGUCUUGACGGUACCUAAUCAGAAAGCAACGGCUAACUACGUG